CCCUCCUUUUCCGCCCGGGGAGAAUCGAUGGGAGGCGCGCCCUGGGUUAAAGGGUGUAGGGGUGCAAGGCGAGGGCCGGGCGGGCGCCGAGGAAUCUGCAAUGCCUGCUCGACCCCCACCCAUCCUGUUGCUCCCGCAGCUGCUCCCACCACCACGCCCGCUCCGCCUCCCCCCACUCAGGUGCCCAGCGCGUUGUCCCCGUCUGUGCGCCCAGAGACUUGUGUGCUCUCCAAGGGCGGCAAAGGUAAGGCGGGCGUGGGUCCCAGGGCUCCUGGCGGACCACAGGGGACACUCACCUCGGGGGCCACCCUGAUCCUGGAGGGCGGUCCAUAUUUGGGGGAAACCGAGUCCGGGGUGGGCAGCAGAGCUUGGGAUGGCAGAGUGGGGUGGAACGGAGAUCCCGGCCAGUCGCUAAGUGUCGAAGCUUCGGUGUUGUCAGCGCACACAAGGUGGCUGGAUCUCACCUGCGAUGUCUACAUCUGGGCGCCCUUGGCCGGCACCUGCGCUGUCCUUCUGCUGUCCCUGGUCCUCGCUGUCAUCUUCCUCCGCAGGAACAGACGUCGCGUUUGCAAAUGUCCUAGGCCUCAAGUCAGACCUGGAGGCAAGCCCAGCCCUUCAGGGAAAUUCGUCUAACAUGGCACUCAGCCUGUGUGACAGCCACUACAUGCCUUCAUACUGAGAUGGUCCCUUGGAGAGCAAGUGCUUCUCUUUUGGGUUUUCCAGUCUUCCUUCCCAUGUACUCAUUCUUAUUAUUAUUUUAGUGGGGGGUGGGGUGGGAAGAGUUACUUUUUCUUCAUGCUAUUUACUUUGACAAAAAACAAAACCAUUGAGUGUCUACAGUUCACUGCAAGAGUCACAGUACUGUUGCACAUACUGGAGGGUAGAGGUAAGAAGCCAGGUUCUCAGAUGCUGGAAUUCACUCUUCCACCCACUUGUGUGGCAGUGGCACCCUAUGGCCAUCCCUCCCUAAUCACUCUCCUCUACCCACUUGGGCUCAGGUGCCACCCUAAGAGCAUUCUAUAUAAACUCAGAUCAAAGCACAUGCAACCCCUUUCAAAAGUCUGAUGCAUCAGCCCCGCCUGCAGUUCCUUUUCUGUUGUCCAUUUCUGUCUGUCACCUUCAAUAAACACAGCUGCUUUUCCCUCACCACUGAAUGUCCACUUUGCAAUUCUUUGCUUGCUAUACACAAGAGCUUGGAAUCCAUUGGGUCCACCACACUGUUACACUGUGGUGGAGCUGGAGACAGCCUCAGUGGCCUUUGGUCUAAACCUUUUCCCUGCCCAACCAGAGGAGGCUGAAGCCCAGAGAUGGGAGCAACUUGGCCAGUAAUAGCAAUGGAGGGUUGGAGGUUGGAGUCCUUGCCUGCCAGCCCUAGGCUCUUUCCUUCACACCAUCUGGGACUCUCUUUCCAGGAGCCAGGGGCUCAAAGUAAGGUGUUUGUGACUCAAACCAUUAUUGGGUCUCAGGCCCAAGGAGGUAAUGAAAUGAAGACAAGACAUUGCCUUGACAGGUUCUACAAUGUUAAUAACACCAGACCUUUCUAUAAUGAAGCAUACAAUUGGAUAGCCUCUGUACCAGCUGAAACCAAGACACUUUUACAGAACUAUCUUGUGUUAGGGAAAGCAGAAGAGAAAGCUGAGAAAUUAUAAUGGUACAAAUUCCUACAAUAAAGUGAAGAGGUGAACUCAAUCCUGGAAAAUGAAUCCCUCUGUCUCUAAAGAAAAUCGCUGUGAAAUUCCUAUGAGGCUAAAGUGCUCUCCCAGCCCUUGCACAGCAGAGGGUGAAACUUUUCAAGAUGAUUUCAGCAUCAGUAAGUUGAGCAGAGGUCCUCCUGAAUCUCCAAAUCUGAGAUACUGGUUUGGAACAUACUUGUGGGAUCACUGAUGACAAUUUAUACUUGAAGACAAUCAUUGGGAGUGCUGCCAGAAAAUUUCUGGCCUCCCCCACCUUCAGCAGAUGUGAGGAUGAGGGAGAAGAGGCUGGUGGGGAGCCUGAGACCCAAACUGUUGCCCAUGUGAGUGUUUUCUGUCAUAGUAUUACACAAGCACCGAGAGAGAGACCUAGGUAAAGUAAUACAAAUGUUCCAUAAUUCUUACUCCAUAGUUAAUAUUAUGGUGUAACUUUUUUUCUAUGCAUGUAUGUAAAAUAUCUACCUUGUUUUUUAAUAGUAUGCUGUUACAAGUGGCUUUAGUAAAUAAACUUUAUGGCAUCCCUUUUUUUAGUCAUUAAGUUUAUUGGCACAUUUUAGGUGUACAAUACGACAUUCAUCAUUGGGAAUUUGUACCUUUACAUGACAUAUCUUGGUUAUUUUUUUCCCCAUUACCCUGCCCUCCCAUCAACCCCUCCACCCCUAUUUACAAAAACUUUUUUUCCAUUUUUUCCUUUUCUCAUAUUUAUUCCUUUCUUUCAUUUCCCCUAUGCCUCCCACUCCCCCUUCCCCUUUGGACCUUUUCUUCCUAUUUCACAUUAUCUAUUAUACAUUUUGAUCCUUAUUUACACAUUCAGUUUCUCACACCAGAGAAACUAUUCAGUAUUUGCAUGUGUGUCCUAUUUAUUUCACUUAAGAGUAUGCCCUCAAUGUUAUGGCAUCCUUUUUUAGUGGCUAAAUAGCAUUCCAUUUUUGGUUGUGUUCCAUUUAACUAUUACCUAGCAUUUGUUUCUAAUUUUCCAUGACUAUAAUAAAACUGCUAAAACUUUCUUUAGGAUAAAUACCCGGAAAGAAAAUUAUCAGGUCAGUUCCUACUCUCUUCACCUUAGACUCAUUUCACAGGAAUCAUGGUGGAUUAUCCUCUUCAUCACUUUCCUUCCUUUUAUUCUCUUGGUAGAAUAGAUGGUACUCCUCCCAGAUCUAUCACAAAAUCAUUUUGUUGUUGGGGUAAAAUAUACAUAUCAAAAAAAAAAUUGCACAAGUCCUAGGCAAACAGCUGCAUGUUAUACAGCAAGCACCCCGACAUAACCAGAACCAAGUCAUAAACAGAACUUCACCUCUUAUCUCUCUCCCCAAUGCAUUCCCUCCACCUCUUUUUUGGUAUUUUGUGUGCAUGUGUGGGCAUUUGUGUUUGGCAUUUUGUGCAUGUGCACAUGUGCCAGGGAUUGAACCCAAGGUAACAGUCACACUAAUCACAUCCUCUACUACUGAGCUACAUCUCCAACCCCCCCCCCUUCUUUUUUUUUAACUUUGCAAUGUCUUGCUAUUUCGCCCAGGUUGGCCCCAAACUCUUGGGCUCAAGUGACUCUCUGCCCCCAGACCCUCUGAGUAGGAGGAACUAAAGGCAUGUGCCACCAUACCUUAGUUUUAAAAACUGAGACACUUUUAGAGAAGCACUGUGCGUGUGGGAAAGCAAACAGGAAGCUGAGAAACUUCUUGAGACAAUGGCUCUUGCCCUUCUCUCUGUGAACCUAUCACCUGAUCAGCACAAGGAGAGACUCGAGGACUGAGGUCAGCUCAGGGCAAGAACCAGGCUGAGGCUCCUGCAGUGCCCAGAGCCUGGGCGCUGUGCUGCCUCUAGACACCUUGGGAGGGACGAGAACCAUCUCACACUGGGUUGUUCCCUUCCUUGUGGGAGAAAUUUGUGAAGCUGACCGUUGCAGGGUGAAAACUGGGAUUCCCAUCAAGAGUAGCGUUUCCUCUUCAAUCUUCAGCUCAUCUUCAUGUGCUCAGCAGUGCUUAGAUGGAGCUACAGUGGGUGGGUGGGGGGAUGCUGAAUUUUGAAAUUCAGUAUUUAAAUAAAAAGGAUUUUACUUACUACAAGUAAAAUGGGAAAUAACCAUUCAGAAGUUAAAAAUAACAACAUAGGAAGAGUUUUCAUUAGAACUAGUGCUUGGACCAGGGAGAAAAGAAGCCAAUGUGCAAGCCAUGCAGCCGAAAGUGUGCUAAAGGCUGGGCCAUGAAUUCAGGAUCUCAGAUGACCAGAGGGAUCACCUGUUCUACACAUGUAUGAGAACCCAGCAGUUCCAAGCUGCCAGCCUCAGGCUCAACAUUUUGUUAACUGCUAGUCUGAAGUGCUGAUUCUACAAAGCUGUGUGGAAGACACAGUGCAUUUAUUAGGAUCUUAAACAGGAAGUAAUGAAUGACUUUCAUUCAGCCACAAUCUUGGUAUCAACUGCAAGGCUCAAUGUGGUUCAUUUAGCAAACUGCUCUGACGGUAAGAAAGCCCACCCUAUCCUUGGAAAUCCCCAGACACUCUGCCCUGUGAGUUUCCCUUUUCUACCAGCUCCUGCACCUCAUGCUGCCACCAGGUCAGCGUGCAAGUCCUCUCUGCAUGGUUCUAUGAUGAUAUCAGAGAGGCAGCACUUAACCUGCACCCCACCCCCCAGCCAGCUUCGCCAGUGCUUUUCCCCCAGAACUCAAGGCCACCACACAGAGGCUGUGACACCAGCUUCCUGGCUCUGGUAUUGUUUGCUGCAAAUGACUUCAUUUGUGACUCAGUUUCCCCAACCAUAAAAUGGGGAGAAUACUAGUCCCUACCUCAAAGGAAGGAACACUUGAGUUCAUAACGAUUUAAUUGCCUCAGAUAGUUGCUGGGACAUGGCAAAAAUAUACCGAAAAAAAUGUACCAAAGUUUUCCUAAUCAAUGUCAUAUUGAUUACAGCGAAUGCAGCAACAUGUGUCUGAGUCUCCUCGUGUCUAUUCUCCCCCACAAAGGGGAAACGGUGACCAUUUCCUGAUGGAUGUUAUUACCUAAACACAGGGAUCUCAGCACCCCAAUGCGUGGGAGGGUGCCCUUCCAUGCACGUCUUAACAAUACCUGUCCCUGGGAGGGACAGGGAGAUGUUAGCCUCUUCUGUAACACCUGGCCACCAGCUCUAAAUUCGACCACCACGGUGGGACCCACAAAGGGUCCCAUGGGCAGGAAGGGUCUAUAAUCUCAAACAUGACCAAGUCUCUUUCUGAAGAAAAUGCACAAAACAAGCACAAAUAAAUUUCUAUGGCUCCACCUCCUUUGCUCACUACUGAGAGGGACAAUUAAGUUUUGUCCCUCGCAGGACUGCUGUGCAUGGUGGGCCUCCCACCAGCAGCCUGGAAGGCUGGCUGUC
rnacentral:lncRNA from 1 species